UCUGGCUCAGGAUGAACGCUGGCGGCGUGCCUAACACAUGCAAGUCGAGCGGAGAUAAGUUGAAGCCUAGCGAUUCUUAUCUUAGCGGCGGAUGGGUGAGUAACACGUGGGUAACCUGCCCUGCACUGGGGAAUAACAGCUGGAAACGGCUGUUAAUGCCGCAUAUGCGCACGGAGCCGCAUGGCUUUGGGCGGAAAGAUUUAUCGGUGCAGGAUGGGCCCGCGCCGGAUUAACUAGUUGGCGGGGUAACGGCCCACCAAGGUGAUGAUCCGUAGCCGACCUGAGAGGGUGACCGGCCACAUUGGGACUGAGACACGGCCCAAACUCCUACGGGAGGCAGCAGUGGGGGAUAUUGCACAAUGGGGGAAACCCUGAUGCAGCGACGCCGCGUGAAGGAUGAAGUAUUUCGGUAUGUAAACUUCUAUCAGCGGGGAAGAAGAUGACGGUACCCGACUAAGAAGCCCCGGCUAACUACGUGCCAGCAGCCGC
rnacentral:rRNA from 1 species